UUGGUUAAUUGCUGUAUGUGUAAAUCAUAUAGAGGAAAGUCCGCGCUAUCACUAUCUGAGAUGAUAGUAGUGUUCAUGUUAGGUCUAAUAAACCUAAGCCUAGACGACAAGUGCCACAGAGACGAGUCUAUUAAGUUAGAGUGAAACGCGGUAAACUCCAUGAGAUAGAAACCCAAAUUUCGGUAGGGGAACUUAUAUUAGAGAAUUUCAAUCAAGUAUAAGAUGGAAACAUAGAUAAAUAAUUAACAUCUCUUUUAUAAAAGAGAACAGAACGCGGCUUAUAA
rnacentral:RNase_P_RNA from 1 species